UACAGAGGGGGCAAGCGUUGUUCGGAAUUACUGGGCGUAAAGCGCACGUAGGCGGCUUUGUAAGUUAGAGGUGAAAGCCCGGAGCUCAACUCCGGAAUUGCCUUUAAGACUGCAUCGCUUGAAUCAUGGAGAGGUGAGUGGAAUUCCGAGUGUAGAGGUGAAAUUCGUAGAUAUUCGGAAGAACACCAGUGGCGAAGGCGACUCACUGGACAUGUAUUGACGCUGAGGUGCGAAAGCGUGGGGAGCAAACAGG
rnacentral:rRNA from 1 species